AUUUCCCUCUUGUUUUUUUUCAUUCACCAGAAAACCCUAACAUCAACUUUCUUCACUUUCUCUCUAUCACGAACACAGAGACUUUUUCACUUUCUCUCUUCACGAACCCUAACAUCGCAGCUUCAAAUCCAUCGCAGCUUCAAAUCGCAGCUUCCAUCGCAGCUUCCAUCGCAGAGCAGCUUCUCACACGAACAGAGCAGCUUCAAAUCCAUCGCCGCUUCCAUCGGAGCUUCAAAUCGACCAAAUCAGCUUCCAUCGCAAAGCCGCUUCUCACACGAACAGAGGGUUAACCAAAGUUAUACCAAAUGGAUAUGGCAUGGUGAGUCGGUAACCGAUCCAAUUGCGUCAAAUACAAAUGAAGUCGAUGUAGAUAUGAACGAUCAGCUAGAUGAUAUGAUACGUGAUAUAGGCCCAAAGUCUUUCCAGCGAGCACA